AUCUUAGCAGGUACAGUAUUUGAUUUCGACAAUCUGAAUCCUUCAUUUUUAUGUCGGAUUCUUUUUGUAUACAUCGGGGGAUCGUUAAGAUUUUACCGGAGUGUAUUAGAUCUCGGAAUGGCAAGGAUGAAUAUUGAACAAUCAGACAUAGUAUGAUAAGGUUGUAUGUCAAAAGGGAAACAGCCCAGAACAAGUGUUUAAGGUUCCAAAAUUAUUGUUAAGUGAAAUAAAGGAAGUUUUUGACAAAUACAAUCAGGAAAUAGGCUUAGAAGCGGCCAUUUUUUAAAGACCUCGUAACAGAGCACUGGUUAUGUUAUGCUGAGUGAAAAAAAAUUCAGUGUAGGUAAGUUAAAAGCGCCGAAAAUAUAACGGAUCUAAACAAUAUACCGACACCUUGUCUAUAAAUAUAAAUAUUUUUAAAUUUAUGUCAAUAUUAAUUAAAAAUCAGUGUAUUUAGUCUAAUAAUUUAUAAAACUUUAUAAAAAUUAAAUAUUAUAUUUAUAGGGUAGCGGAACGUUGGGUAAACUUGAGAUUUAUUCUUUUUAAGAAUAAAAAGUUACAAUGAAUUUAAAUAAAUAAAGAAAUAAACAUUAGUAUUCUUAAUUUAAAAUUAAGAAGAAAAAUUUAAUAAAAAAUAAAUAAAAAUUAGUAUCCCAAGUGAGAAUGCUGACAUGAGUAACGAAAAGGGCUAGAACCCUCGCCUAAAGCUUAUGGUAUUUUAUAAAUUAACGGCCUCUAAGUUCAUGAACUAGUAACAUUUAUGUAUAAAUAAAAAUAUAGUAAGUAUUUACGUAUUUUUAACUAUAUUCCUAAAGGAUUAGAUGAUGAGAGAAUAGUUUAUAUAUGACAACAUUUAAAUAUUUUUUUUCAAAGCAAUUGAUAAAACUUUGCUUUGAAUAAAAUAUAUAGUAACUAAGUGUUCUGGAAAAAAUAUAUAAUAAUAACCGUACCUAAAUACUAACACAAGUAAGCAAGUAGAGUAUACGAAGGCGUU
rnacentral:rRNA from 1 species